AAACUCUCUCUUCUCUCACACUUCCAUUUUCAUAUCCUUGCAAAUUCUGCUCAAAAUUUCAAAAGACCACGAGCUACUCUUGCUUCCUUCAUCACCUAGCCAUCAUUUGGGGUUCUUUUGAAGCAUCAAACCACCACUGCACAGCCAUUUUCGAGCUCUGUUUCUUCAUGGAUCUUCAAUGGUGAAUCGAGAUUUGGAAGUUUCCAGGCAUCAUUAAGCUAACCUACCUCAAGUAUCCAUCAUUCCACAGCAUAAGGAACAUCUGUUU
rnacentral:lncRNA from 1 species